rnacentral:rRNA from 1 species
GUCGAACGAUGAAGGGAGCUUGCUCCUGGAUUAGUGGCGAACGGGUGAGUAACACGUGAGUAACCUGCCCUUGACUCUGGGAUAAGCCUGGGAAACUGGGUCUAAUACCGGAUAUGACCUUCCAUCGCAUGGUGGUUGGUGGAAAGCUUUUGUGGUUUUGGAUGGACUCGCGGCCUAUCAGCUUGUUGGUGGGGUAAUGGCCUACCAAGGCGACGACGGGUAGCCGGCCUGAGAGGGUGACCGGCCACACUGGGACUGAGACACGGCCCAGACUCCUACGGGAGGCAGCAGUGGGGAAUAUUGCACAAUGGGCGCAAGCCUGAUGCAGCGACGCCGCGUGAGGGAUGACGGCCUUCGGGUUGUAAACCUCUUUCAGUAGGGAAGAAGCCGCAAGGUGACGGUACCUGCAGAAGAAGCGCCGGCUAACUACGUGCCAGCAGCCGCGGUAAUACGUAGGGCGCAAGCGUUAUCCGGAAUUAUUGGGCGUAAAGAGCUCGUAGGCGGUUUGUCGCGUCUGCCGUGAAAGUCCGGGGCUCAACUCCGGAUCUGCGGUGGGUACGGGCAGACUAGAGUGAUGUAGGGGAGACUGGAAUUCCUGGUGUAGCGGUGAAAUGCGCAGAUAUCAGGAGGAACACCGAUGGCGAAGGCAGGUCUCUGGGCAUUAACUGACGCUGAGGAGCGAAAGCAUGGGGAGCGAACAGGAUUAGAUACCCUGGUAGUCCAUGCCGUAAACGUUGGGCACUAGGUGUGGGGGACAUUCCAC